UACGAAGGGGGCUAGCGUUGUUCGGAAUUACUGGGCGUAAAGCGCGCGCAGGCGGUCUUCCAAGUCAGUGGUGAAAGCCCGGAGCUCAACUCCGGAACUGCCAUUGAAACUGUUAGACUUGAGGACGAGAGAGGUGAGUGGAAUUCCCAGUGUAGAGGUGAAAUUCGUAGAUAUUGAGAAGAACACCGGUGGCGAAGGCGGCUCACUGGCUCGUAUCUGACGCUCAGGCGCGACAGCGUGGGGAUCAAACAGG
rnacentral:rRNA from 1 species